ACACCCGUUCCCAUACCGAACACGGAAGUUAAGCUCUUCAGCGCCGAUGGUAGUUGGGGGCUUCCCCCUGUUAGAGUAGGACGUUGCCGGGC
rnacentral:rRNA from 3 species